CCUACGGGAGGCAGCAGUGGGGAAUUUUGGACAAUGGGCGCAAGCCUGAUCCAGCCAUGCCGCGUGCAGGAUGAAGGCCUUCGGGUUGUAAACUGCUUUUGUACGGAACGAAAAGACUCUGGUUAAUACCUGGGGUCCAUGACGGUACCGUAAGAAUAAGCACCGGCUAACUACGUGCCAGCAGCCGCGGUAAUACGUAGGGUGCGAGCGUUAAUCGGAAUUACUGGGCGUAAAGCGUGCGCAGGCGGUUAUAUAAGACAGAUGUGAAAUCCCCGGGCUCAACCUGGGAACUGCAUUUGUGACUGUAUAGCUAGAGUACGGCAGAGGGGGAUGGAAUUCCGCGUGUAGCAGUGAAAUGCGUAGAUAUGCGGAGGAACACCGAUGGCGAAGGCAAUCCCCUGGGCCUGUACUGACGCUCAUGCACGAAAGCGUGGGGAGCAAACAGGAUUAGAUACCCUGGUAGUCCACGCCCUAAACGAUGUCAACUGGUUGUUGGGUCUUCACUGACUCAGUAACGAAGCUAACGCGUGAAGUUGACCGCCUGGGGAAGUACGGCCGCAAGGUUGAAACUUCAAAGGAAUUGACGGCUUGGAGAGNGCGACGGACGACGACGAGGGAGGAGG
rnacentral:rRNA from 1 species